rnacentral:tRNA from 1 species
GGAAAUGUAGCUCAGUGAUAGAGUGUUUGCCUGGCAUGCCCAGGGACCUAGGUUCAAUUCCUAGCACUA